rnacentral:rRNA from 1 species
GACGAACGCUGGCGGCGUGCUUAACACAUGCAAGUCGAGCGGUAAGGCCCUUUCGGGGGUACACGAGCGGCGAACGGGUGAGUAACACGUGGGUGACCUGCCCUCAGCUCUGGGAUAAGCCUGGGAAACCGGGUCUAAUACUGGAUAUGACUCCAUGACGCAUGUUGUGGGGUGGAAAGCCUUGUGCGGCUGAGGAUGGGCCCGCGGCCUAUCAGCUUGUUGGUGGGGUGAGGCCUACCAAGGCGACGACGGGUAGCCGGCCUGAGAGGGCGACCGGCCACACUGGGACUGAGACACGGCCCAGACUCCUACGGGAGGCAGCAGUGGGGAAUCUUGCGCAAAUGGGCGAAAGCCC